GUGCCAGCAGCCGCGGUAAUACGAAGGGUGCAAGCGUUAUCCGGAUUCAUUGGGUUUAAAGGGUGCGUAGGCGGGGCGUUAAGUCAGUGGUGAAAUCCUGCAGCUUAACUGUAGAAUUGCCAUUGAUACUGGCGCUCUUGAGUACGCUUGACGUGGGCGGAAUGUGCCGUGUAGCGGUGAAAUGCUUAGAUAUGGCACAGAACACCGAUCGCGAAGGCAGCUCACGAAGGCGAAACUGACGCUGAGGCACGAAAGCGUGGGGAUCGAACAGGAUUAGAUACCCCCGUAGUCC
rnacentral:rRNA from 1 species